UACAGAGGUCUCAAGCGUUGUUCGGAUUCAUUGGGCGUAAAGGGUGCGUAGGCGGCGCGGUAAGUCGGGUGUGAAAUCUCGGAGCUUAACUCCGAAACUGCAUUCGAUACUGCCGUGCUUGAGGACUGGAGAGGAGACUGGAAUUUACGGUGUAGCGGUGAAAUGCGUAGAUAUCGUAAGGAAGACCAGUGGCGAAGGCGGGGCUCUGGACAGUUCCUGACGCUGAGGCACGAAGGCCAGGGGAGCAAACGGG
rnacentral:rRNA from 1 species